AUGCGGCCGCCGGACAUGUAUGACCCUGGCGGCAGCUCCUUGUCCCGGCCGCACGGCAAGCAGGAGCUGCAGCCGGAGGUGGUUCUCUACACGGCGUCAGCUUCAGCGUCGCGCCGCAGAGCGCGCACCUCCGCCGACCGCUACGCCUUGUGCGCCCUGCUGCGCGGCUACGGCCUGGCCGUGGACGUGCGCGACGUGUCCAGGAGCAAAGCGCACCGCUGCGAGCUCAAGUCGUUGCUUGCGGCUCCGGGCUGCGCCUUCUCCCUCCCGCAGCUCCUCGUGGGCGGCCGGCUUGUCGGCGGCCCUGAGGAUGUUAGGCAGCUGCACCGGGCCGGCGGGCUGCGGCCACUCCUGGACGCCGCCCCAAGGCCAAGCCCGGCCUUGGUCUGCCAAGCCUGUAAGAGGGUCGGCUCCGAGCCGUGCCCAAAGUGCAGCGAGUCCCGCAACAAGAUGCUGGAUCACGGCAUUGUUGAGGAGGAGGAGGAGAGGGUUGUCCUUUUUCAUCCAACCCAAGAUGUUUCAGUAGGAGGUGCAGAUGGUGGAGAGGUCUCGUGGAGCAAUAUCAUUGGUGUGAUAGGUCAUGACCUCUUCAUGUAUUGCCUCCACCGCCUCUCCAGGUGGGAAUAUGGCGCCAUCGCCUCCCUCAACCGUGAUUUCAAUUCUGUGGUUCGCAACGGGGACAUCUACCGUCUGCGUCGCAAGAAUGGGGUCGCAGAGCACUGGAUCUACCUCUCUUGCGGUAAUAAUCGCCACGAGUGGGAGUCUUAUGACCCGUCCACUGGGCGCUGGAUCCAAGUGCCCAAGAUGCCACCGGCUGAAUGCUCUUACUGGGAGUCAUUUGCUGUAGGGACCGAGCUGCUGUUGUUUUGGGACGGAAGGGUUGCCUUGAGAUAUAGCAUCCUUACCAAUUCAUGGACAUGGCUGGCUGAUGUGAUGAACAUCCGGCGGCGCUGGUUUGGGUCAGCAAGUGUCGGUGAAAAGGCAUAUGUCACGGGAGGCGUUGAUUCUUCUGAAAGGAUAUUGAGCUCCGCUGAGAUGUAUGACUCGGAGAUACAUACUUGGACACCCCUUCCCAGCAUGAAUAGGGCUAGGUACAAAUGCUCUGGCGUGUUCAUGGAUGGCAAGUUCUAUGUCAUCGGUGGUAAUAGCAGUAGCCGCGAGCUAUUGACAUGCGGUGAGAAGUAUGACUUGAACCGGCGGUCAUGGAGGGUCAUCAACGACAUGUCUCAGGGGCUCAACGAGACAAGCUGUGGAGCUCCUCUGCUCCUUGCAGUUGUGAAAAAUGAGCUUUAUGCUGCUGAUUACUGCGAGAAUGAUUUGAAGCAGUAUGAUAAGCUGGACAACAAGUGGAUCACUCUUGGAAAAUUGCCUGUACAGUCUAAGGACAAAGAUGGCAGGGACAUGGGUUUCCGAGCGUGUGGUGACUGGCUGAUUGUUAUUGGACCUCCAAACAAUUCUACUGAUGAAAAGGUGGUUGAGAUUCAUUCAUGGAUCCCGAAUGAGCAACCGCCUGUGUGGAAUUUGAUUGCAACACGGCCAUACAAGGACUACGAGAUUAUAUGCGCCGUGAUGGGUUGCUGA
rnacentral:rRNA from 1 species